AAGGUAGAGUCCAGGGAAGCAUGAUUAAAAUCCCAGAUAUGACCAUAAACGCCUCUUUGUCUGCAGCCUUGCUGUUACUGUGUGUAUCUUCUCAGAGGCAGCUGAUGCUUCCGCGCUGAGCGCCUCAUCUACAGUAAAUAGUACAGCUUGAAUAAUUUUUACAUUUAGUUUGAAUUUAUUCUAAAUCGACACCUGAAUUUAUACCAAUAGCAAUACCAACUAGCAGCGGUAAUGCAUCGCUAUAAAGUUGUUUCCAACCACUACUCGGUCUCCAUAGAUACUUGUUGUUUCAUCUGACGUAGCAACUAGCUAUGAUUUCUGAAGACGUAUAACCGUAAAGUAGGGUUGUCUCGUUUCCUAAAGGAAUAUUUACUCCCACCCCCUUAACACUUCGUUUCAAGGGAUGAGGGGUCGAAAAGUGAGGGGUAGGGGUAAAAAGAGAACUGGGAUUAGGCCUCGAUGUCUCAGAGUUGAGCUGGAACUUAAACACCAGAAAGAUUUCCACUGCUGGAAGUUUCUCAUUUUGUCGUACAAGUGCGAUAAAAAGUCAUUUAUAAAAGCUGGAGAUGAAAGACCUUUGGUCUGCAGCAGGUGUUUUUACAGUCUGACUAAUUUAAGGCUCUACAGACACGAACAAAUGUAUUUCUCUCAUCCUCUGAACAGGCUUUACUCCAAAGAUGAACAACACAAACCCGACGUCUUCAGUCAACAGCUACGAGUCUCUCAUCUCCCACUGCUGGACUGAGAGUGAAGCUGAUUUCUUCACACUGAUCAUCGUUUCCAUCUGCCUUCCUUUGACCCUCUUGGCCUUAUGUGCUCUUUUAUCACAGCUGCGAAAUAAACAUGUUGCUCCGGUCUACAUCAUCAACCUCGUCUUUGCUGACAUCCUACAGAUGUGCUGCAUGAUCGUUGAGCUGGCAGGGGUCAAGGACGAAUUAAUAAAGUUUAUAUUUUUCUACUUUGUCUACAACUGUGCGGUGAUGGCCAGUGUUUGCUCCAUGGUCUGCAUUGCCCUGGAAAGAUAUCUGCUCAUCGUCUGGCCGAUCUGGUACCGUCUGAAACGAACCACCAAGGUCUAUGUGGGUGUUUGUGCUUUAAUCUGGAUCAUUUCUGUUUUUAUUGGAGUCAUUCAUGGAUAUUUAGCAGGUGCUUUUCUCCUCCUCCCCUUUCCCCUGCUCAUCUUCUUCCUAGUUGGGACCAUUAGAGCCCUGUCUGCUGUCCAGGGUGUUUCCACCAAUGAAAAACGGAGAAUUGUGGCAGUUUUGCUUGUGGUUGUGUUAAUGUACACAGUUCUUGUCCUGCCUCGGUUUGUUUUGAAUUUGUUGUUUUUAUCAUAUCACAAUGACUGGAACAUUUCCAUCAAGUUAUAUGACGUGUCUUGCAUUCUAAUUCAGUUGAAUCCUUGUAUUGACUUAGUUUUAUAUUUUUUAUUUAAUAAAUGGACCCUAGGAAGGUUUUUGGUCUGUCUGACCUGUUGCAGAAAUAACAAUGAUGAUGCCACCAGAUCAACAGCCUGAAUGAUGAAAACAUGAAAACACAAACUAAACACUUUUAAUGUAGAAAAGACACUGAUAGAUUUAUUUUACAAAUCUUUUAUGGAGUCUGUUUUAAUGUUCUGUAUUAUUGGCUGGUUUGCAGAAUAAAAACCGUCGGAUAUCAUCAGAGUAGAAGUAAGAUAACUGGCUCACAGCAGCUCUCUGUCAGAUAUUUAUAAUCAACACGUGUCACGGAAGGUGCAACCAAUCCUGGCCAGCUCUGGUCACCCAGAAGAAUUUGUUCUCCCUUCAGGUCGUCAGCAUCGUUGCUAACAACCCAGCCACCUGCCUGACCAACAUGUGACGUGGUUUGGUCACAUGACUCUAGGUGUGAAUGGUUUCUAAACGGCCUGGGAAGGUGAGUCAAGACUGCACUGCAGGUGUUUGACAGAUGAAACCUGAGGCCCCCUCCUCUAUCUAAUGUUGGUUUUCCCAUUUAACAUCGAUGACUUCUUCCCCUGUCCAAUAUAUGCACCUUACUUUCCUUUAAAAGUGUGUUGCUUGUCCUUAAGAUGCAGGUGGACUGUUGAAACUUGACCUGAAGAGCUGCUCUUUGUAGCACCGCACACCUGUAAAGUGGUUGUUAGGUUUCUAUGUAGAGGUCUGUGCUCUGGUGGACCAGUUUCUGCCUCCGUGUGUUGCUAGGUUUGAAAUGCACAGGAAUGUUGUGUUUAGAGAAGAUCAGUCCUCAAGGUCCUGCAGGUUCUGGAGGUUUCUUGCUGCACCUGAAUCAGAUUAAUAGGUCAUCAUGCUGGCAGAGAACUUAACAAGCUGUUGAGGAGAACCAUUUAAUUUGAAUCAGGUGUGCUGGAGCAGGAAUCGUCUGACACACCAGAGCUGGACACCCCGGUUUUUCAGCCACUCCAGACAUGUGUGGAAUGACAACGUUUGUGCAUCAUUUCUUCUAUUCUUCAUUAUUUGGGGCUCAGUUUUUCUCUGACUUGAUAAAAGCCCAGCUCAGACACGCAGGGUUGAAGCUCUGUCUCGACAUGCUUGUGCAGCUUUUCUUUCCUUCUGUCCUGGUGGGACAUUUUCAGCCCGAUGCUGCAGAGUCCUGAGGACGGCCAGUCUGUGUUCCAGUGGGUGGUGUGAGUCAGAGAGCAAGAACUGGUCUGUGUGUGAUGGUUUCCAGUACACUGCUGGGUUGGUAACAAAACCUACCCGACUCCCACACGUCCCUCAUGUUUUUCAUUAGGUGCUUUUCCAUUACCCCUAGAACUGCACAAAACCUAAAUAUCGCAAUAAAAACUGAUAAUGGAAACACCAACAUUUCGAAAAACCUCUCAAACAUUGCUAAAAUGUUUUUAUGCUGUCAUGAGGUGACUUUUCAGAUGUGUCAAUAUAGGAGUAUAUCGCAAAGUGUAAUGGAAACACUUUUUUUCAUUUACACGUCCCCGGACAUGACGUAAGGGGCACGGCAUGAGGAGCUGCAAGAGGAGACAGAAAUCUUUUCACAAACAAUUAAAGAAAAUAUCGCUGCCAUCCUUCAUAGCAAACAACAGCGAAAUGCAAGAAUUUUUAACCAAAAAUUAGAAAUCUCCUUCCUCCUCAAAGCUGAGAGAACAACAACUAAUGCACUAAACACCAUUCAAUGGAAGCGCUUGCAAAUCGCUGUUGUUGAAAUUGUAGAAAUAUUUCUUUUAUUUAGCAAAAUACUGUAAUGGAAACGCAGCUACUGACUAACAGUAAGAUUCAGAGUUAAUUUCCAAACGUUACGACUCCAGUAGAAGGUGAUGCAUUAAAUAGAAGCUUCUUAUACAUCAGAGCUUCAGGUGGUCGACCUCCAUGAUGCCAGAUCUGAGCAACUUUCAGACAUUUUUCAACAUUUUGGUCCUAUUUAUGAAGCAUUUAAAACUCUGUUUUUAACAUAUUGAUUUAUGUUGUUUGAAUAGAAGUUUCAGCUGUAAAUAUUUUUUUUAUUAUUAGUGAUAUAAUUUAAAUCGAGUGUUUUGCUCUAGAUUUUUUCUCUUAGACACGUGGAUAUAAUCAUCAAUCUCUGUAAAAAACUUGGAUUUCUUGCAGGAAGACACUAGCAGUGUCCUUAAAAUGUACAUGUUCAUUGUAUAAUCUGUGUAUUUAUCAAUUUUAAAUUGUAAUUUGAAGUGUUUGUGUGAACGAAAUAAAGAUUUAGGUUUAA